rnacentral:rRNA from 1 species
UGCACCCAUCUAAGCCUAUACGCCUCAAUGCAAACCCACCAACCCAACUCCAAACCAAACCAUUUGCAAAAAAAAGUAAAUGCGAUUGAACCUACUCCGUAGCGCAAUAGAAUACAGUACCGCAAGGGAACGAUGAAAUAACAAUGAAAUACCCACGCACAACACAGCAGUGACUACCACACGUACCUUUUGCAUCAUGGCUUAGCAAGUCUUCGCAUGUAAAAUGAAUUACAACAUGCCGACCCGAAAAGGCACGAGCUAUUUUAAAGCAGCAUUAUUGUGCGAACUCGUCUCUGUAGCAAAAGAGUGAGAUGACUUUAAAAUAGAGGUGACAAGCCUACCGCGCCUCUAGAUAGCUGGUUGCUUGGAAAAUGAAUUUUAGUUCAACUCUAAAUUACCCUACCUGGCCCACCUAUAGCCGCCCCUAAAAAUUUAGAGUUUAUUCAUUGGGGGGACAGCUCCAAUGAAACAGGAUACAACCUUCACUGAGAGAUCCAAUACUCACACCCAACCUAGCGUAAGCCUUAAAGCCGCUAUCAAAGACCACCGCGUCAAAGCGAAAGUCACAACAAAUAACAACCAUCAACCAAAUCUCCAGACACACAAACCAAGCUAUUCCAUGCUCACAUGGAAGAACCACUGCUAAGACUAGUAAAAUGGCUUCGCCUCUAUGCGCAACUGUAAACUCAAACAAACAAGUACUUAAUAGACCACAAACGGCAAAAUCUACACAACCACAAGCCAAACUAUUAACCUAACUAUUACCCCGACACAGGCGCGCACAAAAGAAAGACAAAACGCUAUGAAAGGAACUCGACAACCACUGAUCCCAACUGUUUACCAAAAACAUAGCCUUUAGCCAUACCAGUAUUAAAGGUUACGCCUGCCCAGUGAUAAUAUUUAAACGGCCGCGGUAUACUAACCGUGCAAAGGUAGCACAAUCACUUGUUCUUUAAAUAAGGACUAGUAUGAAUGGCGACAUGAGGAUCAACUUGUCUUUCACAGCCGGUCUAUGAAACUGAUCUUCCGGUACAAAAGCCGGAAUAAACUCACAAGACGAGAAGACCCUGUGGAGCUUUAAACUUUAUAUCACCUCAAAUGACUAUCCAGUUUUUAGUUGGGGCGACUUUGGAGCAAAACAAAACCUCCGAACACACAAAUCUAGGCCUACACGCCGUAAACCACACAACCCACGACCCAAUAAAAUUGACCAAUGAACCAAGUUACCCCAGGGAUAACAGCGCAAUCUUCUUUUAGAGUCCCUAUCGACAAGAAGGCUUACGACCUCGAUGUUGGAUCCGGAUACCCAAAUAGUGCAGCCGCUAUUAAAGGUUCGUUUGUUCAACGAUUAAUAAUCCCACGCGAUCUGAGUUCAGACCGGAGUAAUCCAGGUCGGUUUCUAUCUGUGCCUGUCACUCCCUUAGUACGAAAGGAUCAGGAAGCGGGGGCCCAUAAUCCCAUCACGCCCCAAGAAAGACAGCUGUCAACAACUCAAGCUGUUAAUACAACCAUAAAAUAGAAAACCACUACUCAUCAUUUUUCUUUUUUCCCCGUGGAAAACAAGCCGACACCCACACGGACACACGUUACCCUUUCACCAAGGGACACUGGAACCCGCACUUCCGCCACGCCUAUAAAAUAGACCAAAAACCAUAUUUCCAAUCACACAAACCCCCAAGAAAACACAAUUAAGCGUGGCAGAGCCAAGUAAAUAGUAAAUAGUAAAUAUUACCUCACUAACUAGACCUU